rnacentral:rRNA from 1 species
AUGAAUACUUUGCAUAUCAUUCUAUAUCAUCUUGAUAAGCUUCAUGCGCUUUGUCACAGACAAUCUUGCCGCACGGAAUCAUACUUACUUCAUGGAUACUUUGUGUGCGCUAACCAUUGUAUUUCCAAGUGUACUUUGUGUUUGCUCAUUUUGCAUGUACCACAUACUGGAGACACCUUAGAGUACUUGGAUUGUGCAAUGCCUUCAUCUACGUCCAACUACAAGUCCGUCCACGACAACCGUUUCCAUGGUUAUGAGGAUCACGAUCCGAGGUCGGAUCUUUCCCAAGGGGGGGAGAUGAUGCGGAGCAUCCCACGAUCAUCCCCAUGUACACUUCGACAACUCCCCAAGCCCCAAGAGGACAUACGAUGA